ensembl:lncRNA UBE2Q2P1 UBE2Q2 pseudogene 1
AGUUGGAGGAUGAAGGAACUGAAAAAGAAAACUGGGCAAUAUUAGAGAAAAUUAGGAAGACUGAAAGGCAAGGCCAUUUAAAUGUGCUGCAGUGUCUGGGUCAGUGCAAGCUUCAGAUAGACUUAAGAAAGAGUUCAGGGACUUAUACAGAUCACAGAGUUAUAAGACAGGUUGACCCUGAUAGUUCUUUGCACAGUGAUCUUCAGAUCUUAAAAGAAAAAGAAGAGAUAGGAGACAUUUUGCUUAUGUUUUAAGGUAUGUAUUGGGUAGAGGAGCAUUAUAUAUGGAACC